UACAGAGACUGCAAGCGUUAUUCGGAUUCACUGGGCGUAAAGGGUGCGCAGGCGGCCAAGUGUGUCAGAUGUGAAAUCCCGAGGCUUAACCUCGGAACUGCGUCUGAAACUACUUGGCUAGAGUACUGGAGAGGGUAACGGAAUUCACGGUGUAGCAGUGAAAUGCGUAGAUAUCGUGAGGAACACCAGAGGCGAAGGCGGUUACCUGGACAGUUACUGACGCUCAGGCACGAAAGCGUGGGGAGCAAAAGGG
rnacentral:rRNA from 1 species